UUGGUUUACAUGGUAAUCAGAAAU
rnacentral:snRNA from 1 species